AUUGAGCAGGACAUUGAGCCCAAAAGAAAUCCCACACACUUCAUCAAAUUGCCCUGCUACAUCAGGCUGCAGCAGCAAAGGGCCAUCCACUGUAAGGAGCUUUAAGUACCUCCUGCCAUUAACCAGUUCACCCAGGCCCUGGACAGGGAAACAGCAACCUACUAGAUGCUUAAGCUUGCCCACAAGAACAGGAAGAGACAAAACAAUAGAUUUAAGCAAACAAAGGCUAGUGGCCAGUGCUGAGAAGAAAGCUGCUGUAAAGGGGACAUACCAACUAAGAGGCCACCUGUCCUACUAGCAGAGGUCAAUCAGCUACCACCUUGGUGGGGAACGAGAAGUGUCAGUUGGUGGUUUGCCCAUGACAUAGACCUCAUCAAGCUGCAGGUUUUCCUGCCUGCCCUGUGUUGAAAGAUUGAGUCUCCCUACUGCAUUGUCAAGGAAAAGGCCAGAUUGGGGAGGCUGGUCCGCAGG
rnacentral:lncRNA from 1 species